UACAGAGACUGCAAGCGUUAUUCGGAUUCACUGGGCGUAAAGGGUGCGCAGGCGGCCGUGUGUGUUAGGCGUGAAAGCCCGAGGCUUAACCUCGGAAUUGCACCUAAAACUACACGGCUAGAGUACUGGAGAGGGUAGCGGAAUUCACGGUGUAGCAGUGAAAUGCGUAGAUAUCGUGAGGAACACCAAUGGCGAAGGCAGCUACCUGGACAGUUACUGACGCUCAGGCACGAAAGCGUGGGGAGCAAAAGGG
rnacentral:rRNA from 1 species